AUUGAACGCUGGAGGCAGGCCUAACACAUGCAAGUCGAACGAGUGGCGGACGGGUGAGUCAUGUCUGGGAAACUGCCUGAUGGAGGGGGAUAACUACUGGAAACGGUAGCCAAUACCGCAUACCAUCAGAUGUGCCCAGAUGGGAUUAGCUAGUUGGUGGGGGAACGGCUCACCAAGGCGACGAUGCCUAGCUGGUCUGAGAGGCUGACCAUACACACUGGACGUGAGACACGGUCCAGACUCCGACGUGAGUCAGCAGUAGGGAAUAUUGCACAAUGGGCAGAAGCCUGAUGAAGCCAUGCCGAGGUGCUGACGAAGGCCUUCGUGUUGUAAAGUACUUUCAGCGGGGAGGCUUUCCCCGCAGAAGCAGCGACGGCUUACCCCGUGCCAGCAGCCGCGGUAAUAC
rnacentral:rRNA from 1 species